rnacentral:rRNA from 1 species
AUUGAACGCUGGCGGCAUGCUCUACACAUGCAAGUCGAACGGUAACAGGCCGCAAGGUGCUGACGAGUGGCGAACGGGUGAGUAAUGCAUCGGAACGUGCCCAGUCGUGGGGGAUAACUACUCGAAAGAGUAGCUAAUACCGCAUACGAUCUAUGGAUGAAAGCGGGGGACCGUAAGGCCUCGCGCGAUUGGAGCGGCCGAUGUCAGAUUAGGUAGUUGGUGGGGUAAAGGCUCACCAAGCCAACGAUCUGUAGCUGGUCUGAGAGGACGACCAGCCACACUGGGACUGAGACACGGCCCAGACCCCUACGGGAGGCAGCAGUGGGGAAUUUUGGACAAUGGGCGCAAGCCUGAUCCAGCAAUGCCGCGUGCAGGAAGAAGGCCUUCGGGUUGUAAACUGCUUUUGUACGGAACGAAACGGCUCUGGUUAAUACCCGGGGCUAAUGACGGUACCGUAAGAAUAAGCACCGGCUAACUACGUG